ensembl:ncRNA B0198.9 ncRNA
AGAAAAACGAGUAAAUCUACUUUUCGGCGCAUCCGACCUGAUUGGAAAAAAGAAAGAAAAAACGAGUACAUGGCGACACAGAAAAUCCCAUAUAUCUAGAGAAUUAGGUAGAGAGAAGGGGGGGGGGGCGGCUCCAAAAGUUUAGAGAUGAUGCUUUUCGAAUGAGAUAAUGAGGUUGUGGCAUAUGGUACCAAAGUGGAUCAAUUAUGCGUGA